GUUAACCGUCGAGUUUGCUGACCGCAAACAUCGCAUAUUACAAUGUGCGCGUUACGCGCACCAAUGCAACAGUUUUCGAGAAUUGAUAUUCUCUCAACUGUUCCAUUUUAA
rfam:Treponema denticola ATCC 35405, complete genome.